rnacentral:rRNA from 1 species
CCUACGGGAGGCAGCAGUAGGGAAUUUUCGGCAAUGGGGGGAACCCUGACCGAGCAACGCCGCGUGAACGAAGAAGUUAUUCGUAAUGUAAAGCUCUUUUAACAGGGAAGAAAGAGAAAUUUGACGGUACCUGAAGAAUAAGCUCCGGCUAACUACGUGCCAGCAGCCGCGGUAAUACGUAGGGAGCGAGCGUUAUCCGGAAUUAUGGGGCGUAAGGGGUGCGUAGAUGGCAUGGUAAGUCUUUUGUAAAAAUGCUGGGCUCAACCCAGUAGGGCAAAAGAUACUGCAAAGCUAGAGUAUGACAGAGGCAAGUGGAACUACAGGUGUAGCGGUAAAAUGCGUAAAUAUAUGUAAGAACACCAGUGGCGAAGGCGGCUUGCUGGAUCGCUACUGACGUUGAGGCACGAAAGCGUGGGGAGCAAACAGGAUUAGAUACCCUGGUAGUC